AUGGAUGAUUUUGAGAAAGGCAAGAAGAUUUUUGUUCAGAAGUGUGCCCAGUGCCACACUAUUGAAAAGGGAGGCAAGCACAAGACUGGGCCUAAUCUCCGUCGUCUGUUUGGUUGGAAGACUGGUCAAGCAGCUGGAUUCACUUAUACAGAUGCCAACAAGAACAAAGGAAUCACCUGGGGAGAGGAUACACUGAUGGAGUAUUUGGAGAACCCCAAAAAGUACAUCCUUGGAACAAAAAUGAUCUUCGCUGGCAUUCAGAAGGGAGAACAGGCAGAUUUGAUAGCUUAUCUCAAAAAAGCUACAAAUGAGUAA